GGGGAUCCUGCUGUUUGUGAUGGUGUGCGGGUAUUUUCCAGAAGACAAAGACCUGCACAUGAUCAGUAAGAACGUUCAGUCCAACCCUGACCUGUCAAAAGAGUGCUGCCAGAUGAUUUGCUCUUGCCUGCAGCAUGAUCCACAGCAGAGACUUAUUCUGGAGGAGAUGCUGCUUCAUGACUGGUUUAUGGUUCUGUAAGACAUGGGAAACAACCAAAAACGACUCCCCUGUCAGGACCACUGUGUUGUUU